AUUGAACGCUGGCGGCAUGCCUUACACAUGCAAGUCGAACGGCAGCAUGAUCUAGCUUGCUAGAUUGAUGGCGAGUGGCGAACGGGUGAGUAAUACAUCGGAACGUUCCCUGUAGUGGGGGAUAACUAGUCGAAAGAUUAGCUAAUACCGCGUACGACCUGAGGGUGAAAGUGGGGGACCGCAAGGCCUCAUGCUAUAGGAGCGGCCGAUGUCUGAUUAGCUAGUUGGUGAGGUAAAGGCUCACCAAGGCGACGAUCAGUAGCUGGUCUGAGAGGACGAUCAGCCACACUGGGACUGAGACACGGCCCAGACUCCUACGGGAGGCAGCAGUGGGGAAUUUUGGACAAUGGGCGAAAGCCUGAUCCAGCAAUGCCGCGUGUGUGAAGAAGGCCUUCGGGUUGUAAAGCACUUUUGUCCGGAAAGAAAUGGCUCUGGUUAAUACCUGGGGUCGAUGACGGUACCGGAAGAAUAAGGACCGGCUAACUACGUG
rnacentral:rRNA from 1 species